rnacentral:misc_RNA from 1 species
ACGUGUUCGAACGGGGAGGCCGAGCCGCCCCGCACCGGCGGAGACGCCGUGCUGCGGGCGGUCCGGUCGCCUCUUCCAAACCAAACCCCUGUGCACCUCUGGGAAGGCGCGGUUCUGCCGCGUCGGCCCCCUUUCACAAACUCUUGUGUAACUCUUGAAUGACCGCGGACGUCGUCCGUCUAAUACAUCAUAA